UGACCUCAAAUCAGGUAGGACUACCCGCUGAACUUAAGCAUAUCAAUAAGCGGAGGAAAAGAAACUAACAAGGAUUCCCCUAGUAACUGCGAGUGAAGCGGGAAAAGCUCAAAUUUAAAAUCUGGCAGUCCUUUAACUGCCCGAGUUGUAAUCUAGAGAAGUGUUAUCUGCGCUGGACCAUGUACAAGUCUUCUGGAAUGGAGCAUCAUAGAGGGUGAGAAUCCCGUCUUUGACAUGGACUGCCAGGGCUUUGUGAUGCACUCUCAAAGAGUCGAGUUGUUUGGGAAUGCAGCUCAAAAUGGGUGGUAAAUUCCAUCUAAAGCUAAAUAUUGGCAAGAGACCGAUAGUGAACAAGUACCGUGAGGGAAAGAUGAAAAGAACUUUGGAAAGAGAGUUAAACAGUAUGUGAAAUUGCUGAAAGGGAAACACUUGAAGUCAGUCACAUUGUCCAGGGAUCAUCCCUUGCUUUUGCUUGGUGUACUUUCUGGUUGAUGGGUCAGCAUCAAUUUUGACUAUUGGAAAAAGGUUGAGGGAAUGUGGCAUCUUAGGAUGUGUUAUAGCCCUUGGUUGCAUACAAUAGUUGGGAUUGAGGAACUCAGCAUGCCGCAAGGCCGGGUUUUUUUUUACAAAAAACCACGUACAUGCUUAGGAUGCU
rnacentral:rRNA from 2 species